rnacentral:rRNA from 1 species
AUCGCAAGACCUUGCGCUCUUUGAGCGGCCGAUGUCAGAUUAGCUAGUUGGUGAGGUAACGGCUUACCAAGGCGACGAUCUGUAGCGGGUCUGAGAGGAUGAUCCGCCACACUGGAACUGAGACACGGUCCAGACUCCUACGGGAGGCAGCAUGGGGAAUUUUGGACAAUGGGGGCAACCCUGAUCCAGCCAUGCCGCGUGAGUGAAGAAGGCCUUCGGGUUGUAAAGCUCUUUCGGCCGGGAAGAAAUCGCAUGGGUUAAUACCCUGUGUGGAUGACGGUACCGGCAUAAGAAGCACCGGCUAACUACGUG